ACAAUAUGGUGGUGCAGUAUUCUAGUCAGGUAAGUAUUUUUGAGGACGGGGCUAAAAAUCCGUUGAAGGGCACAUCGAUGAAGUUCCUUGUGCGGGCCUGUAACGCCCAGUUGUGGGCCUGUGCUGGGAGUAAGGUGGUGGGGCGACCGCAAAGGCAUGCGGCACCGACCCUACCAUCGUGGAGACCAGCGUGCGUGCUUUAGGGGAGAUCCCUACUGUACGGCACUGGAUUAAACCUGUAUUGUGGUAAACUUAGCUAUGUACAGAGUAGCCUGCCUUGAGUGAGGUGGGUAGAGGUAAGAUUGAAUCUAAAUUUCCCGGCCAGGAAAUUUGGGCUAUUGCUUACUGAAACCUAUGUUGCAAAAGAGGAUAAGAAAGUACCUAACUGCCGAGGAAAUCUCCUAGACUGUUCCUGUGAGAUAUAUUAAGGAUUGCAGUGUGGACUAAGUGGUAAUCUAGCCCUGUAAAUGGAAACAUUACAGAUGAAGUAUUAAAGGGAAACCGUCAAAGUGGCGACGCUUUGGUUACUUUAUGGGAAAUCCUGCUAGACCUAAGCCGCAAAAUUUACUUAAUGUAUUACCACCAAUUUAAA
rnacentral:sRNA from 1 species